AUGAGGUGGGGUGGAAUUUGCCUAUCACCGUCCUCAAUGCCGUGUUUAUACUUUCAAAGACCAUCCCUCCUUACCUCUUUUACAGAUGAGGAAAUUAAGACUGUCAGCAGUUCAUUGACUUGUUCAAGACCACAUAGCUGCCCCCUAGCAGUGCAAGAACCAAAGCCAGAUUACCUCCUGGGACUUUUCAAAAAUGCCUCAUCCCAAGGAACGCCCCAAGGGUCUAGAACUGCCCAUCCCAGGUCAACUGGGAAGAAGGAAAGACAAGACAAGAACGUACAACCUGCAAAUAAUAAAGAGGGGCGAUGA
rnacentral:lncRNA from 1 species